CAGGAGCAGAGAAGACUUUCAGAUGCAGAAUUUCAGCUGCGCCGGCAACUGAAGCAAAGGCUGCUCGGAUUAGCAGCGAUUGAGCGUGCCAGAAAGAGACAGGCGGCCAGAAUCACAUGGUUGUGAGCGGGUGAUGCAAAGACUGCUUUCUUUCAGGCCAAGAUCAACUCCAGGAGGCAAAAAAAUCACAUCUACUCGCUGCAGACUGAUACUGGAACUGCCCUCGACCAUGAAGAAAAAGCAGCAACCGCACACCAGCAUUUC
rnacentral:rRNA from 1 species